AUGUCGGAAUUUGCACCUAUUUUUAUCUAUUUAGUGAUCAUUUCACUAGUUUCUUUGAUUCCACUCGGUGUUCCUUUUCUAUUUGCUUCCAAUAGUUCGAUCUAUCUAGAAAAAUUGUCGGCCUACGAAUGUGGUUCCGAUCCCUCCAGUGAUGCCAGAAGUCGUUUCGAUAUACAAUUUUAUCCGGUUCCUAUUUUAUUUAUUAUCCCUGAUCCGGAAGUCACCUUUUCUUUUCCUUGGGAAUACCUCCUAACAAGAUUGAUCUGUUUGGAUCUUGGCCCAUGA
rnacentral:rRNA from 1 species